UGGGGAAUUUUGGACAAUGGGCGAAAGCCUGAUCCAGCAAUGCCGCGUGUGUGAAGAAGGCCUUCGGGUUGUAAAGCACUUUUGUCCGGAAAGAAAUGGCUCUGGUUAAUACCGGGGGUCGAUGACGGUACCGGAAGAAUAAGGACCGGCUAACUACGUGCCAGCAGCCGCGGUAAUACGUAGGGUCCAAGCGUUAAUCGGAAUUACUGGGCGUAAAGCGUGCGCAGGCGGUUGUGCAAGACCGAUGUGAAAUCCCCGGGCUUAACUUGGGAAUUGAAUUGGAGACUGCACGGGUAGAGUGUGUAAGAGGGGGGUAGAAUUCCACGUGUAGCGGUGAAAUGCGUAGAGAGGUGGAGGAAUACCGAUGGCGAAGGCAGCCCCCUGGGAUAACACUGACGCUCAUGCACGAAAGCGUGGGGAGCAAACAGG
rnacentral:rRNA from 1 species